rnacentral:lncRNA from 1 species
UUAUGCAUUCUGCCUCUUUGCGAAGCAUUUUAAUAACAGGAAGAGGUGGUGUCGGCAAAAGUAUGCAAAUGUGUUUCCGAUGGAACUGAUCUUUUUGCCUGAUCAUAUUGAUUAGGGAACUUUUAUUAGUGUUCAUCACACAGGUUGAUAUUGUGUACGUUUUAUCUACAGAAACAUGUUGCAUUGUGGCAUAUGUAUUCUGUACAUGAUGGUGCAAAUUUAACCCUCAUAUUUUGUUUGGGGUCUGGUAAAAAGUAAAAAAAGUUGUUUUAAAGGGGGUUUAGGGGGGGGUUGGCAGUAACAGUUUAAUGAACCUUUAGAGAAAAUAUUUUUAAAAAAAAAGAUCUAAAAAGAGUUUGCAUAUGUGUUCUUUGUUGAGUAUCGUAUUUGAUACAUCAGGUUUUUAUGGCUCAUAUAGUAUAAUAUAGGAAAAUAUGAAGCUCACACAUGAUUUUUAUGGCCAGAAUGUAAGAUGAAAGUCUGAUAGCUUGUAAUAUAAGUCGAUUAGAUCUUUAUACAGACUACUUACAUAAAAUGUAUAUAAUUAUCAGUUGUCACUUUACACUGUAUCUCCUUAAAAUAUGUCUUAUUAGGAUGAUAUCUAAAUUAGUUUUGUCAAUCGAUUAAAAAAAAACGAAUUAAUCACAUUUUUUCUGAACUUAAUCAUGAUUAAUCCCACCUAACAUUAAAGUUUUUAAUUUUAUUUUUAUAUUGCAAUAAUUUCACCUUCAAUCUUCAAAAUAAUGUAGAAACAACAUAAAGACUAUUGGCAUCUUUUUUUUGACUGAAGGUUAGUAUCACUGAUACCAAAUACUAUAUGAUGUCUCUAUGAAAUAAUUUUUUUCUUCUAAUAUUUAAUCAUUGAUUAUAGCCAUUCAACAUUACAGUAUAAUUGAGAGCUAUCAAUUUGGACAUUUAUUAGACUUUAAAAGGUAACAACAUAUAAUUUAAGUGAACUCAGCAAUCUUCAAAUAAACCCAUUAAAAUAAAUGUCAUAUUUAGUUACCUGUGCCCUUCAGGAAGUAGGAAAUAUACAGAAAUUAAAUGUAGUUAUCAAACUCUAAAUUCUACACUAAAUAUAGAUGAAUCCUUAAAGCUACAAAACUUAUUGAUUUCCUCCUUUUCUUUUGUUCUUAAUGCAUGCACAGUUUUAAGCCAGCUUUAAUCACCUUUUUGGUAACUUCAUGACUUAGGCUAACUGACAACAUAACUACGACAUUUCAUGCUCAUAGUUUCUUUUGCGCUUUAACAUGAUAUACAGCAUGCACCCCGCAUUUGUGUGUGCAAUUGAAGAGCACAUGCUACGAGCACAGUAUAA